UACAGAGGGUGCGAGCGUUAAUCGGAAUUACUGGGCGUAAAGCGCGCGUAGGCGGCUUUGCAAGUCGGGUGUGAAAUCCCCAGGCUUAACCUGGGAACUGCAUUCGAGACUGCAUUGCUAGAGUAUGGGAGAGGGAAGUGGAAUUUCCGGUGUAGCGGUGAAAUGCGUAGAUAUCAGGAGGAACACCGAUGGCGAAGGCAGUGGUCUGGGCCGGUACUGACGCUGAGGAGCGAAAGCGUGGGGGAGCGAACAGG
rnacentral:rRNA from 1 species